rnacentral:lncRNA from 1 species
UAAACCCAUUUCGCUUUUGCUUUUGUAAACUAUAAUGUUUAAUCACACUCCUUCACCUUUUCUUUUUCCUUUUCUUCUUCACUCUUUGAGUGAUACCCGGGGAUUUUCUCUUUUAUUUUCUCAAAAAUACCCUUCUUCUCCUUCUGUUCACCUUCAUCGGCGUGUGUCACCACCGCCGGCGGUGGUGGUGGUGGAGUAGCAGCAAGCUCCUCCUCCUUCUUAUGGCCGCCGGGAAGUUUCUCCUUGAUCUUUUCCAUGAAACCCUUCUUCUCCUCCGGCUCAGGUGGUCCAUGCUGGAGUGGAGCUACAUCGUAUUUCUCAAUCGGUACAGUAGUUUCAUCUUCUUGUUUCGUGAGCUUCUCCUUGAUCUUCUCCUUCAAUGGCUUCUUCUUCUUCUUCUUCUCUCCAUUUUCAUCGCACUCUUCGUCACUCGACUGUUAACAAAUAUCACCAAAGGAAACAUACUUUUAGUAUGGAAAUAAACAUAUCGUAAUGAAUCAGAGAUCAUGUCAUUAAGUAAACGAUUUGAUUCAAAGGUUAGAAAUGGAGACAGAAAACUUACGCUACUGGAACUGCUAUCGGAUCUGUGAAGUUUCUCGAGCAAGCUUUCUUUCUUCUCCUCCGGUUCCGGGUGAGAGACUUGAACUUUCUGCUCAAACUCCGAUGAGAUCGCGGCCUCUUCGCAUUUCUUCUCUUCGUCUUUCUUUCCAAACAUAUCAAACAGUCCACGAUCGGACUUCUCGACGGUUUCAGGCUCCGCCACCACGGUGGAUGUUUCGACGCACUCUUCGGUUUUGGGGGCGCUGUGGUAGACUCCUUCGUCAGACAUGAUGAAAGUUGAAUCGGGAUUAAGAAUAAAAACUGAGUAUUUGAUUGAUUGGUUGUUGUUGUUGUUGGAUGAGAUUAGAG